rnacentral:rRNA from 1 species
UCAGGAUGAACGCUAGCUACAGGCUUAACACAUGCAAGUCGAGGGGCAGCAUGAUCUAGCUGCUAAGAUGAUGGCGACCGGCGCACGGGUGAGUAACGCGUAUCCAACCUUCCCUGUACUAGGGGAUAGCCCGGCGAAAGUCGGAUUAAUACCCUAUGUUUUCCGAAGCGAGCAUUUAAUUUGGAACAAAGGUUUACCGGUAUAGGAUGGGGAUGCGUCUGAUUAGAUAGUAGGCGGGGUAACGGCCCACCUAGUCGACGAUCAGUAGGGGUCCUGAGAGGAAGGUCCCCCCACAUUGGAACUGAGACACGGUCCAAACUCCUACGGGAGGCAGCAGUGAGGAAUAUUGGUCAAUGGACGAGAGUCUGAACCAGCCAAGUAGCGUGCAGGAUGACGGCCCUAUGGGUUGUAAACUGCUUUUAUAUAGGGAUAAAGUGAGGGACGUGUCCCUUAUUGUAGGUACUAUAUGAAUAAGGACCGGCUAAUUCCGUGCCAGCCGCGGC